ensembl:lncRNA
CGUAAAUGGUUAUGUGUUUGGGCUCUGUAGACAAAGGCAUACUUUCAUCCCAACUCUACCACUGUCUGGUCCUAUAAACUGGACAUGCACUUAACCACUGGAAGCCACUGUUUCCUAAUUUUUUUAAUGGGAAUAAUAAUAGUACCUACUUUACAGUGCUAUGAUUAUUAAAUGAAUGAAUGCCACAUGAAAGCAUGUCUUAGCGUGUGUUUUUAAUCCUGAAGAUAUGCUAACUGACUGCACUGUGGUGUUUCAACAGAGCUUCCAUCUUAGGCCAAUCAUUCUGAUACUACCCCCAUUUGGGACUUUAUUGUAAUUUGAAACAACGCCUAAAUCAAAUCCCUUCUGAUUAUACAGUGGAAGUGAGAAAUAGAUUUAAGGGACUAGAUCUGAUAGACAGAGUGCCUGAUGAACUAUGGACGGAGGUUCAUGACAUUGUACAGGAGACAGGGAGCAAGACCAUCCCCAAGAAAAAGAAAUGCAAAAAAGCAAAAUGACUGCCUGAGGAGGCCUUACAGAUAGCUGUGAAAAGAAGAGAAGACAAAAGCAAAGAGAAAAGGAAAGAUAU